GGGGUGUAGCUCAGUUGGGAGAGCACCUGCCUUGCAAGCAGGGGGUCAAGGGUUCGAAUCCCUCCAUCUCC
rnacentral:tRNA from 1 species